GGAGGGGUGGCCGAGUGGUUGAAGGCGCUCGCCUGGAAAGCGGGUAUAGGGUCAAAAGCUCUAUCGUGGGUUCGAAUCCCAUCCCCUCCGCCA
rnacentral:tRNA from 1 species